rnacentral:lncRNA from 1 species
GAUGAUAACAGAAUGUACUUUGUGAGAACAAUUUAACGUGCUAAUGUUCAAUUGAGUGUUCAUAGCUUAGAAUGAAGUUUUCAGAGGAAACACAUUAAUCAGAGGAAAUACAAAGAUCAUAGGAAACACACUUUAGAAUGAAAUUUUCAGAGGAAUGCAUUAACCAUAGGAAACACAAAUAUAAGAGGAAACACACUUAUUAGAGGAAACAACAUGAUUUGAGGAAACACAAUGAUUACAGGAAACACAAUGAUUAGAGGAAACACAAAGAUUAGAGAAACACAAUGAUCAGAGGAAACACGCUUUGUUGUACACUCCCUCCGUUGGCUCAGAAUCUCCCAGUGUGAUAAACUCAUUCUCAUUCUAAUAUGCAACAUUUUCUGAUAAGUUGAUUUGGCCUCUACAAACUGCCUCCAGUAAUUCAACACAAGCAGAUGAUUGACUUUUCCUCCUACAUUUCUACCUUAUCAUCUGACUCUGAGUAUCAUCCAUAUGACUCUAAAGAAAACCAAUGCCUCUGGGAAAGUCAAUUCCUAUGGCUAAAGUCGUCGCCUAUGACAAAAGAAAACGCCUCUGAGAAAAUUCAACACACCAAUUUUCAUGUAUAAAAAAUCAAUGUCUGACGAAAAUUCAACAUCUUGGAAAAACAUCAAUGACUUUCAUAAAAAUCAUAGACUCUGGAAGUUGGCCAUGCUCUGAAUAUAUAUGCUCUAUUAUAAUCUGAAUUAUUCUAGAACACACUUUGAUACACGUUAUGUCCC